GACGAACGCUGGCGGCGUGCUUAACACAUGCAAGUCGAACGGACAGGCCCUGCUUUUGUGGGUUGCUCGAUUGGCGAACGGGUGAGUAACACGUGAGUAACCUGCCCUUGACUUUGGGAUAACUUCAGGAAACUGGGGCUCAUACCGGAUAUGAGCUCCUGCUGCAUGUUGGGGGUUGGAAAGUUUCGGCGGUUGUGGAUGGACUCGCGGCUUAUCAGCUUGUUGGUGGGGUAGUGGCUUACCAAGGCUUUGACGGGUAGCCGGCCUGAGAGGGUGACCGGCCACAUUGGGACUGAGAUACGGCCCAGACUCCUACGGGAGGCAGCAGUGGGGAAUAUUGCACAAUGGGCGGAAGCCUGAUGCAGCAACGCCGCGUGCGGGAUGACGGCCUUCGGGUUGUAAACCGCUUUCGCCUGUGACGAAGCGUGAGUGACGGUAAUGGGUAAAGAAGCACCGGCUAACUACGUG
rnacentral:rRNA from 1 species